UACGUAGGGUGCGAGCGUUAAUCGGAAUUACUGGGCGUAAAGCGUGCGCAGGCGGUUUUGGAAGCCAGAUGUGAAAUCCCCGGGCUUGACCUGGGAAUGGCAUUUGGGACUGCAAGGCUGGAGUUUGGCAGAGGAGACUGGAAUUCCUGGUGUAGCAGUGAAAUGCGUAGAUAUCUGGAGGAAUACCGGUGGCGAAGGCGGCAUCCUGGACCGGCAUUGACGCUGAGGAGCGAAAGCUAGGGGAGCAAACGGG
rnacentral:rRNA from 1 species